AGAGUUUGAUCCUGGCUCAGAAUGAACGCUGGCGGCAGGCCUAACACAUGCAAGUCGAACGGACAUCUUCGGAUGUUAGUGGCGGACGGGUGAGUAACGCGUGGGAACAUACCCUUUGGUUCAGAAUAGCCCCGGGAAACUGGGAGUAAUACUGGAUGUGGUCGCAAGACGAAAGAUUUAUCGCCAAAGGAUUGGCCCGCGUUGGAUUAGGUAGUUGGUGGGGUAAUGGCCUACCAAGCCGACGAUCCAUAGCUGGUUUGAGAGGAUGAUCAGCCACACUGGGACUGAGACACGGCCCAGACUCCUACGGGAGGCAGCAGUGGGGAAUCUUAGACAAUGGGGGAAACCCUGAUCUAGCCAUGCCGCGUGAUCGAUGAAGGCCUUAGGGUUGUAAAAAUCUUUCAGUGGGGAAGAUAAUGACGGUACCCACAGAAGAAGCCCCGGCUAACUCCGUGCCAGCAGCCGCGGUAAUACGGAGGGGGCUAGCGUUAUUCGGAAUUACUGGGCGUAAAGCGCACGUAGGCGGACUGGAAAGUCAGAGGUGAAAGCCCAGGGCUCAACCUUGGAACUGCCUUUGAAACUCCCAGUCUUGAGGUCGAGAGAGGUAAGUGGAAUUCCGAGUGUAGAGGUGAAAUUCGU
rnacentral:rRNA from 1 species